rnacentral:rRNA from 1 species
UCCGUAGGCGGACUAAUAAGUCAGGGGUGAAAUCCCACAGCUCAACUGUGGAACUGCCUUUGAUACUGUUAGUCUUGAGUUAUAUGGAAGUAGAUAGAAUGUGUAGUGUAGCGGUGAAAUGCUUAGAGAUUACACAGAAUACCGAUUGCGAAGGCAGUCUACUACGUAUAUACUGACGCUAAUGGACGAAAGCGUGAGGAGCGAACAGGAUUAGAUACCCUGGUAGUC